rnacentral:rRNA from 1 species
AUUGAACGCUGGCGGCAGGCCUAACACAUGCAAGUCGAGCGGAUGAAGGGAGCUUGCUCCUGGAUUCAGCGGCGGACGGGUGAGUAAUGCCUAGGAAUCUGCCUGGUAGUGGGGGAUAACGUCCGGAAACGGGCGCUAAUACCGCAUACGUCCUGAGGGAGAAAGUGGGGGAUCUUCGGACCUCACGCUAUCAGAUGAGCCUAGGUCGGAUUAGCUAGUUGGUGGGGUAAAGGCCUACCAAGCCGACGAUCCGUAACUGGUCUGAGAGGAUGAUCAGUCACACUGGAACUGAGACACGGUCCAGACUCCUACGGGAGGCAGCAGUGGGGAAUAUUGGACAAUGGGCGGAAGCCUGAUCCAGCCAUGCCGCGUGUGUGAAGAAGGUCUUCGGAUUGUAAAGCACUUUAAGUUGGGAGGAAGGGCAGUAAGUUAAUACCUUGCUGUUUUGACGUUACCAACAGAAUAAGCACCGGCUAACUUCGUG